UGUGUGUGUGUGUGUGUGCGUUUGUAAGACCAGCGUAGUGGUGCCCUUUGUCCGAUACACCUACGCGAAGUGGUGCCCGUUUGCAUAGUGGUGCCCGAAAAUCGGGCACCACUAUGCUGAGCAUCACAACGCCUUCCUUAUGUCGUGAUAUAACGUCUGUAUAAAUAUCAGAUGGGCCCCUUUUUACUGGAUUUUGCCAUAAAGAGUGUGACUCAAGGUCACGUGACUUCCCUCGCGUUCACACAAAUCCGCCGGGCAUUUCAGCUUUCUGCUGUGCCAUAUUGAUGACGUAUGAAAGAGAUGGUACUUUGUGAUGAUGGAAUGGGUAGGUAUUUUGCAUGUACAAUUGCAAAUAUUUUGAUGUUUUCGGUUUUGGGUGGCAGGUAGAUUAAAUAAUAACAAAUUCAUACCUAGCGUUUUUAAAUAGGUAGUAAAUAGGCACCUUGAAAUGACAACACGCCCAUCCAGAAGUACUGGUGUCCAGCUCUAUCAACUACCAGUCCGCCAUUCGCGCGCUGGGCGACUUCGAUUUGGACGACAAUCCCAGGUCGAUGUCCGUACUCUCACGUCCGUCCGCGAGUUGUCGCGCGGUCCACCAGGGAGAGGUGGCAAGCAGACUGUCCAACUGGCUGGUACUGCAUCGUUAUAGGGGACCGCUGGUCCGAGCCGCUACCAGGAAGGAGGCUGUUGACACUCAUCAGCUCUGGUCGGGCCACUGGGGAUGAUCGGAGCAGUAUCUUCACCGGAUUGAGAGGAGAUCAAUGUCCGAGUUCGCCUAAUGUAACGACAAUAAAUGCCAAGCUGGCCGCUGCCUGGUCUGCGGUGAAGCAGUGGACACCUAAGCGCACGUGUUGCCGGAGUGUCCGUGCUUUUACGGCCCUCGGCUGUGUGCGCUAUGGAACAUCGUCGGCGCGGCCCUCGAUGUCAAGCGCGACGACGUGGUGGUGACCUUAGCCGCCGGCUACGAGGCCCGCAAGAGGCUUGUAUUGGCUACGGCGGUAGCUGUGGGGACACAGCAACAACGACAUCAACAGCUGGCGGCGGAAGUGGCCCCGGAGCUACGCACCUGCGGACAGAGCUACCGCUGAUCCACAUCUCAGCUGAUGAUGCUCAACAGACGGAGAGACUGAGGCGCUGGACAGCGAGUCUGUCUGUGGUUGUGCUGAAGACGGCGUCGGACGACCAUCAGUUCCGGCUGGCGAAUCUAGCCAGCUCCGACCCCGUCCAGCUGCCCGACGAGUGCUUACCAAAACAGCCGCUCGCUGCUGCCGUGCGCCAAGAUGGCCGUCCACCGCCACCGAUGCCGCCACUCGCUCGCCAAGACGCCCGUCCAUUGGUGCCACCGCCCCACGCCCACUUGCGCUCUGCCACCGUUGACUGCGGCUAGCCGAGAUUCAGGUUCAAGGUUUAGGCAUACCUACAUUAAUGUUAAUUGCCUAUAUUCAUCGAAGCGAAGGUGUGGUGACAAAGAUGCCUAUGGUGGUGAAAUACGGUGUACGCAGCUCCUGGUGAUGUUUUUAUUGCCCUUAGCUUGCCAUCCAAUACCUAUCAUCAUUUGAUCAUGUAUGCUGACUUGAGUGGCUGAUAUUUGAUAAUAUAUAGCAUGAAGUGUU